rnacentral:sRNA from 1 species
GCCGGGCGUGGUGGCGCACACCUGUAACCCCAGCAGAUGGGGAGGCUGAGGCAGGAGGAUUUCGAGUUCAAAGCCAGCUUCAGCAAAAGUGAGGCACUAAGUCAUUCAGUGAGACCCUGUCUCUA